GUAGGUGACCUGCGGAAGGAUCAUUACUGAGUGAGGGCCCUCUGGGUCCAACCUCCCACCCGUGUUUAUUAUACCUUGUUGCUUCGGUGCGCCCGCCUCACGGCCGCCGGGGGGCUUCUGCCCCCGGGUCCGCGCGCACCGGAGACACUAUUGAACUCUGUCUGAAGAUUGCAGUCUGAGCAUAAACUAAAUAAGUUAAAACUUUCAACAACGGAUCUCUUGGUUCCGGCAUCGAUGAAGAACGCAGCGAAAUGCGAUAACUAAUGUGAAUUGCAGAAUUCAGUGAAUCAUCGAGUCUUUGAACGCACAUUGCGCCCCCUGGUAUUCCGGGGGGCAUGCCUGUCCGAGCGUCAUUGCUGCCCUCAAGCACGGCUUGUGUGUUGGGCUCCGUCCCCCCGGGGACGGGUCCGAAAGGCAGCGGCGGCACCGAGUCCGGUCCUCGAGCGUAUGGGGCUUUGUCACCCGCUCUGUAGGCCCGGCCGGCGCCAGCCGACAACCAAUCAUCCUUUUUUCAGGUUGACCUCGGAUCAGGUAGGGAUACCCGCUGAACUUAAGCAUAUCAAUAAGCGGAGGAAAAGAAACCAACAGGGAUUACCUCAGUAACGGCGAGUGAAGCGGUAAGAGCUCAAAUUUGAAAGCUGGCUCCUUCGGGGUCCGCAUUGUAAUUUGCAGAGGAUGUUUCGGGAGCAGCCCCCAUCUAAGUGUCCUGGAACGGACCGUCAUAGAGGGUGA
rnacentral:rRNA from 1 species